rnacentral:lncRNA from 10 species
GAAAGUCCAAGCUGAAGGCGGAGAGGGAAGGCUCUAGAAAAAGCAAUGCAGAACGAAGAAGUCACAUCCGUCACUUUCAAGCCUAGGUGUAUGAGGUGUGGGGGAGGAAAGCACAGGCAUCCCUGAGAAGCCUGUUGGAGAAUCAGCAUCCUCAGGGGAGAUUCGAGUUUCAAUCGGAGCAAGAAGCCAUAGGUCAUAAAGAUGGCGAUGGUUAUUUCCUUCCUCAUACCCAUGGUUUGUUACAAUGUGACUUUGCGGUUCUUCCCAUCAGUAAACAGAAGCCAUUUUCUUACUCCUUGCCUCUGGAUGGGCCUUGUGGCUUGCUUUGAGCAAUAGAACGCAUCAGAAGGUGACCUCAUGCCAGUUUCAUGCCUUGGCUUCAGGAGGCCUUGAAUUCUCUGCUGCUCCUUAGGAAUCUUCUGAGCCACUGCUUAACAAGCUCCAACCUCUCCAGCUGGAAGAUGAGGCAUAAUACAGAGGAGAGGCAAACUGUCCUAAAGAGACUACCCUAAGCCAACCAGUCCAGAUGACAGGAGGUUGACCUUGACACAUGUGUAAGCCCAGCCAAGGUCAGCCAAACCUAGUACAGAUCAGAAAAACCAUCUAUCAAUGCUCAGCCCAAAUUUCCAACCCACAGAAAUAUGAAUUAAAUAAAUGAUUGUUGUUUAAACCAUCUUGAUUUUGAGAUGCUCACACGACUGACAGCUGAUUGAACUGCCAUCUGGCUACUUACCAGGUUUAAAAAUCACAAUUAUGUCUGCAUAUGCACACAAUGCUAACUCUUUUGGAUGGGCCUUUUCUCAUAGGAUUCUCUUUCUCAAACACAGUUGAAUUAUCUUUUUAUUAUGUUUUCUCCAUCCAGUUUCUAAUUGUGGGAUCUUAUUUGUGGGAUCUAAAAAAUUGAACUCAUGGACAUAGAGAGCAGAAUGAUGGUUACCAGAGGCUGGGAAGGGUAGUGGGGGGAUGUGAGGCAGUAGGGAUAAUGAAUGGGUAUAAAAAAUAAAAAGAAUGAAUAAGACCUACUAUUUGAUAGCACAACAGGGUAGCUGCAGUCAAUACUAAUUUAGUUGUACAUUUUAAAAUAACUAAAAGAGUGUAAUGGGAUUGUUUGUAAAACAAAGGAUAAAUGCUUGAGGGGGUGGAUACCCCAUUUUCCAUGAUGUGAUUAUUUUACAAUGCAUGCCUGUUUCAAAACAUCUCAUGUACCCUGUAA